CUUCCUCCUGGAAAAAAAAGGGGGAGGGCAUCAUUUAGCAGGUAAUAUAUUGCAAUAAAAAUAUGGUUAUGCAAUAAUGGUUCAUUAAUAUGAUAAAUCAUAAUAUAACCUUUUCUAUUAAAUGAAAAAGGCAAUUUUUGAAAUGAAGACAUUUUCUUUCCUAUGGCACAUUUCCAUAGUUGGUUUGAAAGGAUUUUUUUUAAUUUUUAUUCAAAACAGUCAUUUUGAUUUGCAUGGGAGAUAACAGUUGUUCAUGACAUUUUUAUUUCUUCAUAAACAGAUUUCCAUUUUGGCGAAGGUUAAUACAGUAGGAAUUUGUUUUUACUUUUGGAUAUACUGCAAUACCACUAGAGCACUUUGUUCGGGACAGAACGGCUAAUUUAUCCUUUAUGCCUUUACGAUCUUGUCAGAGCCGCAUGUCUCCCUUAGUUUUUCUAAUCUAAAAUAAUCCCAGUGAAAUCCUUUGAUUGUCCGUUUGGACCUGCUCCAUUCCUAAAGCAGGAAUAUAAUGGGCUUUAUGGCACUUACUUGGGAGUCAUUUAUCCAGCAGAAUGACUAUAGAUACUUGUUUUAAUAAGAAUAUGCUUUAUGGUAAGUGGGGACUGCUAUUUAAUUAGCCAAAGGGAAAGUAGUUCAUGAUACAAUCUGUUCCAAUCAUCUUGGACAUUAAACAAAAAGUCAGGCUAAGUUAUUUAUGUACAUGCACUUUAUUUGUAGUUGCUUUGAGCAAACCUCUUCUCUGAAACUUUAUAGCAUUUUCAGAGUGAACUGCAUUGUAGGAGGAGGAAUCGGGGAAGAAAAGGACAUGAGAGCAUCCUAUAAAAUUUUUGAAAAAGAAACAGAAGGUUUACUUAUUGCUAUCAAGGUUGUGAAUACAGGCAUGCCAAAUGGAAAACAGGCAGAGAACUAUGAUUUAUCCUCUGCUAUUUGGUAGUUUGCAUCUUUAGUGCACAGCUGAUGGAAGAAUGUUGCAGAAUGUCAGUAAGAUAUGAGAUUGUGUGUGUGUGUGUGUGUGUUCCUGUGUAUUUUGCUUGGAUUUCCAUUGCCUUCAUAGCUAUAGUCCUAUAUUUUUUCUUAUCAAUAAAAUAAAUUUAAAAUGUUCAAUGCAUAGCCAAUAG
rnacentral:lncRNA from 1 species